GUUCAAUCCCUGGUACUUAAAAAAAAUUAAAAAAAAAAAGAAUAAGCAAAUAAUGUACCAACAGAAGGCAAGUUAAUGGUUGCCAGAGUAUAGCAGGGAGGGAGAAAUGAAGAAUGAUUGCUUAACAGGUAUGUGAUUUUCUUUUGAUGAAAAUAUUCUGCAACUAGACAAUGGCAUUGAAUGCACAAUGCCGUGAAUGUCCUAUGUGUCACUAAGGCUGAAGAAAAUCUAGGGUUCAUCCUAGAAAAGGAACCACUUCUGAACCAAGCCACCUUGGACAGGGAUACAUUCAAGGUCAGCAUGAUGAAUAGGCAGAGAAAGAGGUCAAACAGCCCUCUCAAGCCAGAAGAGUUGGUCAACGGCCUUGUUCAAAGAGAAUUUCUCCACUUUGGGGGUGCUGAAGGGAGGAGGGAAGAUUUGGAAUGCAACAGUCACAAGAGAAUGGAGGAGACCUUGACAGUGCCAUGGAAG
rnacentral:lncRNA from 1 species